AAUGCCUGAAUAUUUUGUGCAUGGAAUAAUGAAAUAAGACCUCUGUUCUACUUUCAUUGGUUUUUAGAUCAAGAGGUAAUGAUUAAUAGAAGCAGUUUGGGGGCAUUAGUAUUACGACGCGAGAGGUGAAAUUCUUGGACCGUCGUAAGACUAACUUAAGCGAAAGCAUUUGCCAAAGAUGUUUUCAUUAAUCAAGAACGAAAGUUAGAGGUUCGAAGGCGAUCAGAUGCCGCCCUAGUUCUAACCAUAAACGAUGCCAGCUAGCAAUUGGGUGUAGCUACUUUCAUGGCUCUCUCAGUCGCUUCCCGGGAAACCAAAGCUUUUGGGCUCCGGGGGAAGUAUGGUUGCAAAGCUGAAACUUAAAGGAAUUGACGGAAGGGCACCACCAGGAGUGGAGCCUGCGGCUUAAUUUGACUCAGCACGGGAAAACUUACCAGGUCCGAACAUAAGUGUGUAAGACAGAUUGAUAGCUCUUUCUCGAAUCUAUGGGUGGUGGUGCAUGGCCGUUCUUAGUUCGUGGAGUGAUUUGUCUGGUUAAUUCCGAUAACGAACGAGACUCAAAUAUAUUAAAUAGAUGCUUUCAGGAUUAUGGUGCUGAAGCUUGUGUAGCCUUCAUUCAUGACUGCAGUAAAAUGUAUAAGUGUUUGAAUGUGUUUAUUCAAGUGGAGCCGUACCUGUUGGUUUGUCCCAUUAUAAGGACACUAGCUUCUUAAAUGGACAAAUUGCGUCUAGCAAUAAUGAGAUUGAGCAAUAACAGGUCUGUAAUGCCCUUAGAUGUCCUGGGCUGCACGCGCGCUACAAUGAAAGUAUCAACGUGUAUUUCCUAGACCGAGAGGUCCGGGUAAACCGCUGAACCACUUUCAUGCUUGGGAUUGUGAACUGAAACUGUUCACAUGAACUUGGAAUUCCCAGUAAGUGUGAGUCAUUAACUCGCAUUGAUUACGUCCCUGCCCCUUGUACACACCGCCC
rnacentral:rRNA from 1 species